GUGAGGAAUAUUGGUCAAUGGACGGAAGUCUGAACCAGCCAUGCCGCGUGAAGGAUGAAGGCGUUCUGCGUUGUAAACUUCUUUUAUCAGAGAAGAAACCACUGAUUUCUAUUAGUGUUGACGGUAUCUGAUGAAUAAGCACCGGCUAACUCCGUGCCAGCAGCCGCGGUAAUACGGAGGGUGCAAGCGUUAUCCGGAUUUACUGGGUUUAAAGGGUGUGUAGGCGGGCUAUUAAGUCAGGGGUGAAAUCCCGGGGCUCAACCUCGGAACUGCCUUUGAUACUAUUAGUCUUGAAUUAUGUUGAGGUUGGCGGAAUAUAACAUGUAGCGGUGAAAUGCAUAGAUAUGUUAUAGAACACCGAUUGCGAAGGCAGCUGGCUAAACAUAUAUUGACGCUGAGGCACGAAAGCGUGGGUAGCGAACAGGAUUAGAUACCCGUGUAGUCC
rnacentral:rRNA from 1 species